rnacentral:lncRNA from 1 species
GAAGCGGAGGUUUUACGGCCUCCCCGCCUCCGCCCUAAAAAGACACGAUGCUAAAAAUCCGACCAGCCGCCGCCGCGCGCGCGGCGGUCCGGCGGAUUAAGUCGCCCCCCAGCCACGGAAGCAACGUCGGAACUCCUGCUUCCUUCCAUUCUCAAUUGAAUAAUUCAAUUCACCCUCCGUUAGCUUCCGAAGCUAAGGCGUCCUUCAUCGCUGGGAAUAGAGCUAGGGAUUUUAGUUGUUCCUCAAUUAGAUUGUUCUCGACUUGCUCGAUCUCGAAUUGUAGCACUAGCGUCGAGAAUGCCGACGUUGACGCCGACGCCGAAGCCGCGGCUGCUGAGGCAGCGGCGGCUUACUUGACGAUGCGGAACGCGGCGAUGGAUGACGCGUUUCAUGCGAUCGAACUGGCGUUGGAUUCGGUGGUGAAGAUUUUCACGGUGGCGAGUAGUCCGAGCUAUUUUCUGCCCUGGCAGAACAAGUCUCAGCGGGAAUCCAUGGGCUCUGGUAUGUGAAUGUUUUGCUCUGUAUCUUAUUUUAGUUUGCUCAUUUUGUGCAAUUCAGCUCAUUUACAUAAAGCUGACUUAUUUUUGUGAAAUGUAUUACUGUAUUUAAUUUGGACCUGGCAUCGUUUUAGCUGAAAAAUGGCAGCAUGAGUAGAAAAGCAGAAGCUUUUUCUUUAGUCAGUUUGAUGGAUGGUGAUGGAUUUAAGGUUGUACUAGCUGAAGGAACUUGCUUUUGAACUUUAUAAGUCGGUUGACAUUAAGAUACAGUUUCGAACUUUUGUUGUUUUAGGUAAAUUGUGCUGCUUUUUUAGUUAGAUGAAGUGGUAAAUUAGCUUUAUAUUGAUGCUUAAGGUAUGGCUUUUUUAGGGGGCGUUUACUUUUGAGGAUAGGCUUGAUAGAUAAAAAUAGUAAGGCUAAUCCCUUGUUUACUUAGAUGGAUUGAAACUUUGGGAUAUCUUAAGGCCCUUGAUUAUAUCUAUCAUUUAAGCUAGUUUUGCUUGAUUCAUAUUCCAUUGAAAGGGUGAGAUUGGAGAAAUCAUACUCUCGAGGAUAAAAAUACUCAAUCGACAAUCAUGCAUCUUAUCAAUCACACAAAGUAAACGUCUCCCUAUGGUUUUACUGCAGGAUUUGUUAUCUCGGGAAGGAGAAUCCUGACCAAUGCUCACGUUGUGGCGGAUCAUACUUUUGUCCUUGUAAGGAAGCAUGGCUCUCCUGCCAAAUAUAGAGCACAUGUCCAGGCUGUUGGUCAUGAAUGUGAUUUGGCUAUCUUGGUGGUCGACAGUGAAGAGUUCUGGGAAGGGAUGAACUUUUUGGACCUUGGCGAUGUUCCGUUUCUCCAAGAGUCUGUUGCAGUUGUUGGUUAUCCUCAAGGUAAUGUUCAUUUAUCUUCCUCUAGGCAUUGCAUUGGAUAUUCAUUACUCGUUCUGAAUGAGGAAGAUACCUUUGUUGGUUGAGCCAUUUAAUAGAAGAACUUAUAUAUGCAANNNNNNNNNNNNNNNNNNNNNNNNNNNNNNNNNNNNNNNNNNNNNNNNNNNNNNNNNNNNNNNNNNNNNNNNNNNNNNNNNNNNNNNNNNNNNNNNNNNNNNNNNNNNNNNNNNNNNNNNNNNNNNNNNNNNNNNNNNNNNNNNNNNNNNNNNNNNNNNNNNNNNNNNNNNNNNNNNNNNNNNNNNNNNNNNNNNNNNNNNNNNNNNNNNNNNNNNNNNNNNNNNNNNNNNNNNNNNNNNNNNNNNNNNNNNNNNNNUAAUUUUGACAAUACUAGUCCUUUCCAUUGAAGAUAAAUACACAAGUUACCUCAAAUAUGUAGAAAUAAUCAAGAAUUUUAUGGUAUCUUUCAAUUCAUCUCAAAUUUUAUGAAUCAUACUAUAUUUUUUUAAGAAUUUACGACUUAUUAAUAAUUUGAUUUGGGCCUUGGAGUUUAUAGGGGCAAAAUAGUAGAUUUACAUGUAAUCUUUCAGUCAGUAAGAAAAUAUCACAAUAUUACUUGAAUGAAAAUGAUACUUUCUUAUUGGACGGAUAAACAAAUUAAAAAGUGAAACUAUGGGACGAGUUUUUUUUUCAAUAAAAGGGACUAUUAUAAUUAUAAAUUAUAAAAAUAGGAGUUUAUAUUUAUAUAGAACAUGGGAGGCACAAUUAAUUUGGUGGGUAAGAAUUUCUUCAAAAUAAAAAUAAAAAUGGUGGAUAAGAAAAUACUAGUUGAAACGAAGGCCCAAUUCUAAAGUUAUUGGGCCACAAGCUGCUCCCGUAAGUUAAAUAAAAAACACAAUACAAAAUAGACAAGAAGAAAACCAACGUAAAUCAGAAUCUAAUUUUCGUAACGCUCAAGAAAUUGAAACUGAACUCCCGGAAAAGGAGAAGCAAUCGAAGCGAAAACGUCGAGAUUGAGGUGAAAUGGACGUGAUAAAGUCGCAGCAGAUACUGUCGCGGCCGAUCGAGAAAGUGGUGGUGCACCCGCUGGUGCUGCUCAGCAUCGUCGACCACUACAAUCGGGUGGCGCGUGACACCAGGAAGCGCGUCGUCGGAGUUCUCCUUGGAACUUCCUUCAAGGGCACCGUCGACGUCACCAACAGCUACGCAGGUUGUUUUUAAUUUCAGAUCUGAUCGUUUCCCGCUUCUUCCUUUUUUGAUUUUUCUUCAGUAAUUUCAACUCUUCCAGUGUUUCUGAAUUUCAUGGAGUUUGGAUUUGAUUGGUAUUAUUAUUGAAUUUUCUGUGAGGCGAUGAGUUCGGGAAAUUCUAGUGUAGCAUUUGAUGAUUCGUGUUUACAUGUUAUAUUUAUUGUUGACUUGUGUAGUAGUAUGCUACAUCUGACGGGGCAAACACCCCCCUUUUAUCAAAAUAAUAACAACAAUAAUAAAAACUUGGAGUUUAUUGAGCUAAAUACGGGUUUGAGUAUAUGAAUACGUUUUGAAAAUAAGCAUAUAUAGACUGAGUCUUCAUAAUUCUACGAUUACAAAAUUAGUGUCUUAUAUUUCCCAUUACUAAAGUAUUAGGCCCCCUAUUUCCCAUUCUACGACAGAAUCUUACUUUGACAAGGCUAUUUGAGUUGUUAUAGAAUCAGUUGACAAGUACAUUUCAAUUUCAUACAACUGAUUUUCUUGUCUCCAAUAAAGAUGGUCUCGUUCUUGAGUAUUUUAGCAAGUUCUCGUGGUCCCCAAUUAUGGGUAUUAUGACAUAAAAGGGUUUAAUAUCUGGACGCCCUGGAUCAGGUUUGACUGUAAGAGUCUUCAUAACCAUAGGUAUUAUUGUCACUCUUAAAUGAUGCAUCAUCUCUCUUCUGUCUUUCCUGAAUGUUUCUUUCCAUUAUUUAGUGUUGUUAAUGAGUUAUGCAUGCCAUGAUUUUCUAUAACAUAUUGACUUGAUUUGAACAGUGCCUUUUGAGGAAGAUGAAAGGGACCCUAGCAUCUGGUUUCUUGAUCAUAAUUACCAUGAAUCAAUGUUUUCCAUGUUCAGAAGAAUAAAUGGUUUGCUAUUUUUCAUGACCUGUUCCCGGCUGAAUAUAUUUCUAAGUUUCGCGUCUAAUUCAACACAUUUAUCUCAUGUCAGCCAAGGAGCAUGUUGUUGGCUGGUAUAGCACCGGUCCAAAACUAAAGGAAAAUGACCUAAGUGUGCACAGUCUUUUCAAUGAGUAAGAUCUCUUUCUAAUCUUGUUGUCUUUUCUUUUGGGUUGCUCUAUAUUCUAUCGUUUAGUUGAUCUUCUUAUUGAGCUUAAGACCCAAGGCUUACCCUUUACCACUGUUGUUAUCAUUUUGAGGAGGCUAGGUAUCUGUUGAACUGCACAUUUAUUAUAUUUGUCUCUUUGAUUGUGUCAUGUCAUAUCCUUCUAACACCUCUGAGCAUAAUGCUUUACUUUGACCUCCUUCACAUGUAAGGAUAUUCAGUGUCACUGUGCAAACUCUAUGUUAAUUCACACUUCAUGUUAUUGUAGCUAUGUCCCCACUCCAGUGUUGGUCAUUAUUGACGUCCAACCAAAAGAGCUUGGGAUACCCACUAAAGCCUAUUAUGCUGUUGAAGAGGUUAAAGAGGUAUCUAAAAUUUACUGAUAUUUUACUCCUUGUGUAAUGUAUCAUGUACAUUUUUUCGCUCCUUGUAUUUCAAGUUCUUCCUACUCUAUGGCACAAAACAAACACUUAAAAUGUAAUGCAAUGAGGACACUUGUGCAUAUAAAAUGCCUUGAUGUACCAGAAACCGUCACUGGAGGAUUUUUAAUUAUGUCUUGAAAACUUGCAGAAUGCCACUCAAAAGAGCCAGAAGGUAUUUGUGCAUGUUCCUUCCGAAAUCGCUGCUCAUGAAGUUGAAGAAAUUGGUAUAUUACUACCCCAGUAGAGUUCUUUUUCUUUGGAAUACUACUCCCUCCGUCUCUUAAGAGUGUGCAUCACUUUUGGUGACAUGGGUUUUAAUAAAUGUUAGGUGAGUGUGUUGUGAGUGGAGAGAUGGACCCACUUUAUUGUGGUGGGAUAGUGUCCAAAAAUGGAUAAUGCACAUUCUUGUGGGACGUACCGAAAUGAAAAAAAGUGCACACGUACAAUCAUUGUAAUUUUAUGAUAUGGAUGUGAUAGACCAACUCCUUAUCACUUCCUGUCAUCUUGGUUAUGACAGGAGUUGAACACUUGCUAAGGGAUGUAAAGGACACAACUAUCAGCACCCUUGCAACUGAGGUUUCUUUUCUCUUCUUCCCUCCUUUCUGCCUAUUCAUGGUUAUCAUUUCUUCAAAUUCUUAUACUCCAUGUCUCCAUGUAUAUUCCUGUGUAAUCAUCAUGGUAUGAAAGUUAUUGAUUCUAAUAUAAGUGGUAGAAAUGAGAAAUUUAUCUUUAUGACCUUUCUCCAGGUGACGGGGAAACUCGCUGCUCUGAAGGGAUUGGAUGCAAGAUUGAAAGAGAUUCGAAGUUAUCUCGACCUGGUUAUAGAAGGGAAGCUGCCUUUAAACCAUGAAAUCCUCUACCAUCUCCAGGUAUCGUUUUCACAUUUUGGUAAUGUUGAUAUGUAAACUGCACAUAUAAUUGGGAUUGUAUAUCUGUUUUCUUGUAAUUCUGGUCUGGAUAGAUCAUUUCCAAAUAGCAUCUCAUUUUUAAUGUAACCUGACUUGUGCAGGAUGUGUUCAACUUACUCCCAAAUCUAAAUGUAACUGAACUUGUCAAAGCAUUUGCUGGUAAUCAAGUUGGCUGUUGUUUAUUCGUUAUUUGCUUUAUUAAUCAGUAGUUCUCAGGAUUUAGGCAUCUUCCUGAUGCAAAUAUUAUCUUCUUCUCUGCAGUCAAAACAAAUGAUAUGAUGUUGGUCAUAUAUCUGUCGUCCCUUAUCAGAAGUGUGAUUGCCCUACAUAAUUUGAUCAACAACAAGGUGAAAUAUUCUUCGCUCUUCUUCUUCUUUGAAAUUUCAAUCAGAAAAUUAAAGCCAGAAUUUAUAGAGAAUAUUUUGUUGAUUCAUCUGGUCUUUCAGGCUAGGCUUCUGAGUGACUUUUUGCAUAAGACAGAUAUAUAAUGUUGUUAUUAUGUCCAACCUGCUAAAAAAAGAAGAAUUGAGAUGGAUAUAAGUUGCAUUGUAACAUAAUGUAUGAGCAGAUAAGCCAAAGACCUCUUUCACUUCAUUCUAGAAUAAUUAUGAGGCAAAGUGGCAUUAGACCUGUUGUAAGAUCUCUUUCCAGAUGGGACAUGAUAUAGCAUAUGAAUGGUGUGUUGCGUUAGUUUCCAGGAACUAAAUUUUACAUAUGUUAAAACCAGAUCGACUUGUUGGCUGUUGAUUUUGCUUUAGACAAAUUGUUCUUAAUUUGUGACUGACAGUUUGGAAUUAUGAUAACAGAUGCUUAACAAAGAACAUGAAAAAACAGAAGAUUCAAAGCCAGUUGCAGUGCCUACUGCUGGAAGCUAAAAGCAAACUUUUCAGGUGAGCACAAAUCGGUGUGUGAAUGCUCCAAUUUCAUAGCACAACGCGAUCUCUGGAUUCGGAGAUGCAGUUAUAUACUAGACGUCACAGUCCUCUUACAAUCCAGUCAAGUCUCGAUGCCCCUCUUCGAUUUCAUCCACAACAAAGCCCGGGACUCGGCCAAUCAUCAGUUAACCUGAUGACUGGUAAUCAUCAAGCCAUUUCAGCUUUAUGGGCUGUAAUUGAAUAGCACUCUGCUGCAACGAAAGAUAAUUUUAUAUUCUCUAUCUGAUCAUGUCAUUAAUACUUCCAUAUUUUGUGGUUACUUUUUUCUCCGAUUUAUGUACAUUUCAUUUCAUUACUCAAUUGGCUCAGUUUUCAUCUCAGUAUUAUUGUUUCAGAAGAGAAUACCAAUUAAUAGAGGCAUCAGUGUAUCUCAUACAGCAAAAUAUUAUUCUGACUUCUGUGGCUUACUGUGGUGCAUUAGGAUGCACAAUCCAUUAACCUUAAUUAAAAAUUAAUAAUAAUUAAUACAUUUUAAUUGAUAAUUAUCAAUUUCUCAUUAUAAAUUAAUAAAUUCUAAUGAAGAAAUUUGAUGAACACAAAUUGAAUUUAAUUAUGAUGUACAUGUACCUUACAUUCGAUGCACAAUGUUUUUCCCUCCUAUUUUAUACACAUGGAGUACUAUAUAGACUUAUACAAAAUUUUAAAAAUAAAUGCAUCUUGUAUAAAUCGUGCGAAAUAAGGAUGUAGAAGAUCAUUGUUGAACAAUUGAUUGUCUAUGCAAAUCAGAUAAGAAAAAUUGUUGGUAGAGGUAGAGGUGGCUUCAGUGAUAUAAAAAAAAGUUAGACAAUUUGACAUGAAAAUUAUUUGAGCAAUCAGUGUUUAACUAAAACACAGUUUGAAUGGAUUAAAAGAAAAGUUUGAAUGAAGAAUAGAUGUGAUUGUGAAAAAAUUUGCUCCCUACAUUCACAAUCAUUAUCGAACGUCCUCAAAAAUUAGUCUAUUUCUAUUUUUAGAACUUUCUAUCUACCAUUUUCUCCAUUCAUAAUAUAAUUAAUUAUUAUUAUUAACACUACUUUUUAAGUGAAAUUCUUUUUCAAUCAUAAUACACUCAGUUAUUUUUAUUAAAAUUUGUGUUAUCUCCUUCAAAACUAUCUUUUAUGAAUAAAAGAGUAAUUUGGAUAUGUUGCGUUUUGAGAUAGAGGUCAAUAUUGGGGGUUAGGGUAGCUCCGCGGGGCCCACUUUGGUAAAUCCGGCGGAAAUUGACAAGAGUGCCGAAUCUAUUUAAAACCAGUUGCUAUUUCGAAUAUGAAUUCCAAUCAUAUGAUUUCAUUCUCAAAAUUCAUCGAAAGUGGUCACAUAGUGUGUGUGAAGAUAUCAAAGCCGUUAUUUGUGAAUUCAUAUUGAAUACCUAACUUUAAGAAUCGAGAGCGAUAGUAAAAUAUAAUUAAAUUGAUAAAAAUGUUUAUUGGCUUCGCAAUCAGCCUAGAUCCAUUGACUGCACAGAAACGGUGUUGAUGAGAGAAUUGCAUGCCUUACUCGUUGCAAUUGGUUUCUGCUUGGAGGCCGAUUGUGAUGUUUAUUGACUCGUUGCUUGCUAUCCACGUUAUUUAUAAUACUAAUAAAAGUUAUGAGUCGUUGACCGAGAAGCUUUUCAACAUGUUCGAAAAAGCGGUGUUUAAAUUAUGUCAUGUUCGUAGAUGUGCAAUUAUAGAGCGGCACAUGCUUUAGCUAAUCUGGUGUUGUUUCGGUUUGGAAGGCUGAUUUUUUGGCCUGAUUUAUUGACAUUAUCCACAAAUAUUUAAUAGAAUGGUCCAUCUUUUAUCUCCAAAAAAAAAAAUUGUGUUUAUAGCGGGAAUUAUGGUACAAAAUCAUGUAUCAUUCUGGACAUAACACCCUAAAUUCAAAAUAAAUAAUUAUGAGCGUAUUAAAAGAAUUGGGCUUUUCGAAAACAAAUGUGUAAACAACUAAACAUAUUUCUCUCUGUUUAUGAAAAAUAUGUUACAAUUCUUUUCCAUUCAUUCACAAAAAAUUUAUUACUUUCAUUUAUAGUACUUAGUAAGGUUCACAUAACUUCAUUAUUCAACUAACAACUCUACUUAUAUUUACUAAAAUUCGUGUUGUCUAUAACGUGACAAAUUUUUUAUGGACGGAGAGAAUACAGUAAAAUAACUAAAUCGUGACUAUCGAAUAAAAACCCAACCAGAAGCCCAUUUUUUCUUUUUUAAAUCAAGGUCUAGCCCAAGUUUCUAAUUUCCAAUGAAAAAUAACUCCUUUUUCUUUUUUCUUUUUUAGUAAUUCAUUUUUCUUUAUAAAAAAAAGAAAAAAGAAAGGGGGGAUUUUAGGAACGAGAGCAGAUUCGAUUGCAAGAAUUGGGAUGUCAAGAAGUUAUGUGGAGAAAUCAAAGCACCGAUGUUGAGCUGGAAUAAGAUCUUCAACUUUUUUGAUAAGGAGACAAAUUUCAUGCUUUGCUGCUCUAAAGAUGUGUCACCUUUUCUCGUGUAACUGAUGGGUACCUCUGGUACCAUAACUUUUUGAUUUUAUCCCAAGUAAACCAUUUUUUCUGAUGAAAAAAAAAAGGAGAAAAUAUAAUACAACACACUAAUUAAGCUCCGACUACUAUUUAUUUAAUCUCAAUCUACGAAACCAUUCUAAAUUUCUACACAUCACUUCCAGUCUUCUUCAACAUCUUCGUCACCUUCUUAAUCUAAAAUUCGAAAAAGGAGAAAAUAUAAUACAACACACUAAUUAAGCUCCGACUACUAUUUAUUUAAUAAACAGUUACAUAUUGCAUGAACUCCGGGUCGGACUCCAGACCCGCCAUUGUCUCUGGCGCCAAAAUCACCUCCAGAUCAACCGACCCGCCCCCUUCCCGACCCGGAAACGCCGAUAUCUUGCCGUCGAACUUAUUAUUCCGGCCGCUCCGCACCGCCACGGGCCGCCCCCACCCGAAAUCGUUGUCGUACAUCGGGAACCUCGGCGAGCUCCCCAUCAUCACCAUCGUGCCGCCGGGGUUUCCCAGCGGGAAGCACCGCGGCUCCCGCUCCCAAUCCUCCACGUACUUCCGCGCCGCCGCGUCCCCGUGCGCCGCCACGGUUCGGUUCAGCUGCUCCGCGCACCACCGUAGAUUCUCCCCCGCCACCACGUCCCCCGCCAAUGCCGACGUCGGAACGCUCUGGAUCGCGUUCCCGAAGUACAGCGGCUCCAGCUCCGGCUCCAGCCGGUGCCGGCAGUUCACCGCCAUCCGGAACGUCGUCGUUUCGCCUGCCGGCAGCCUCCGCGCGCGCGUGAUCCCGCGCCACAGCAGCGCGCUCAGCGACUGGAACGACGAGAUCUCCGCCUUCGCCGCCGCGGCCGUUGGAUUUGUGUGGUUCCCCGUAACGGCGUUUCUCAGCCAGCUCAACGGCGUAAUCGGCUUCUGCUUGCACAUGAGCGUGUCGUUGGCGUGCUUUCCCAUCAGCUCCGCGACGUUAACGGCGCCGUUAGUUAUCAUCAUAUUGCCGUUAUUGACUCUGGCUUUGAGCUUGAGAAUCGAUUCUCUGCUGAAUCGGAAGAUCCUCUCCCUGAUCGGAGCGUCGCCGGAGAAGGUAACCUUGGGGCCGCCCUCGGGGAGCCUGAGCACCGCCGAGGAGAUCAGAACCGAAUCGCGGCUGAAAUCCGGCGAUCGCGAUAUCCUCUUCACCCCCGAUCUGCUGAGCUCGGCGAAGGUGUUGAAGAAAUUCCAGAAGGAAGUGCCGUCGGCGACGGCGUGGUUGAAGGAGCAGGCGAUGAAUACGCCGUCGGCGAGCUCCGUGACCUGGACGGCGAGGAGCGGGCGGAAAUGGCCGGUGUGACUGACGGCGUGGUCGAAGGCGAAGCAGCUCUUAACGGCCUCGGGCACGUCGCCGUCAGCGGACCCCAGCAGAUCGAUGACGUGGAUGUGGGAGGCGUUAGCGUGGAUAAAGUCGACUCCUUCGUCGUUGCAGUGUAUAUAGACGUAGCCGGCGGCGUCGGUGGUGAGGCGGCCGGCGAGGGGCGGGAAGUGGGUGAGCGAGUGCGAGAGGCUGCGUUUGAGGAGAGAGAGGAGGUCGGAGAUGGGGAAUGGAGGCUUGGCGAACAAGCCGCCUUUCUGGAUAUAGUGGCAGGAGAGCAUGGGGAGGUCGGAGACGGAGAGCUUGAGCUCCGUUAGGGUGGAUUUUUGGGAGGGGGAAACUCUGCAUUUCGAGACAAUUGGCAACGAUUGGGAAACCAUUAUCUUCAUAUGUAUGUAUGUAUAUUUGGAGAGUGAGUGAGUGUGGGAGAAUGGGGAGAGGGGUAUAUAUAGGAGUUGGAGUUGGAAGGUAAUUGAAUUUGCAAGUUGGUGGCGUUGACUGUAGAGAUCAUGUAUAAGUGUAAAUUGUUGGUGGAUGCCACGUGUUUCAAUAUGCCUUCAUAUUUUCACACAUCACUUCAUCUCAUGUGCUAUAAUUCUUGAAAUUUUCACACACCAUCGACAUAUGCCUCUCAUUAGGGCUGUCGAACGGUUCGGGUUCGGUUACCCGUACCCGAAAUUUCGGUUACCCGAACCCGAAAUUAUCAAUUUUCAAUAACCGUUCCCGAACCGUUUUAGGAGUUCGGUUACCCAAUAACCGCUUCGGUUACCCGAUUCGGUUAUUUGGAUAUCCAAAAUACCCAUUUAAAAAAUUAAAUUCAACUAAACUGAUUCAAAAAAAUAAUAUUCAACAUCAAUCACAUUCCCUAUAUCUAAUAGUGCAGUUCGAGGUUCUGAAAAAUUAAAUUGAAAGGAUUUCAGGUUGCAAAAAUAACUAAGAAGGGCACUAUUCAGUAAUUCAAGAACAAAAUUCGAAAAUCAAUUCACAGAGGGCGGCGGACGAAGGGGCGCGGCGGUCGGCGGCGUGGCCGAGCGGCCUGGACUGGAUUCGCGCUUAGGGCAGGCUGGCUGGAAUCCCGAAAGAAGAAGACGGAGGGCGGCUCACAGAGGGCGGCGGACGGACGCGGUGACAGCAUCGGACAGCCGGUAAAGGUGGAGGCGGGCUGAAGAGCUGACGGGAAUGGGAUUCAGGAGGGAGGAGGCGGCUGAAGAGCUUAGGGCGAACGGACGAACAGCGAAGUGGCCGGCGGCGUGGCGGAGCUGCGUCGCGGAGCAGCCUGGAGUCCUGGACUGAUUCAGAAUCGAAGGGCAGGGCGGCGUCGACUGAUGCAGCGUGGCGAAGGGCAGGGCGGCGUCUCACGGAGGCGGCGGACGGCGUCGGACGGAGAGGAGGGGGCGACGGGAUUUGGGAAGAGGAAGAGGGGCAGAAGUCGCGAACAGAACUGACGGGAGGGAGGCGCUGCUGGACUAGGGUUCAUUCCUCCCAAUUUUGUAAUUUCUAAUUUUCUACUAAUUAAUAAUUAAAAUAUUAUAUAUAUAUAUAUAUAUUAAAUAAUUAAUUAAAAAAUUACGGUUAUUCGGUUAACCCGAAUCGGUUAUCGGGUUAACCGAUAACCGAAAAUUUCGUAAAAUCAAUAACCGAAACCGACCCAAUAACCGAAAAUUUCGGUUAUUGGAUACCCAAACCCGGGAAUUUCGGUUCGGUUAAUUGGAUACCCAAAACCCGAUAACCAAUUAGACAGCCCUACCUCUCAUAUAUGUCAUGUUAUUGUUAGAACGUAAGAGUAUGUAAAAUUGAAACAAGACAAAUUGAAUAAAAUGUACAUGAGAUUUAACGGGUCUAUAAAGCUUAUUUUAGUUAAAAGAUGUAUAGUUUAUUAAGAGUUUAUAAAUUUUUGAAGUUUUUGGGUACUUGAGUUUGUAACUUAGAGACAAAAAAUUUAGUUAAAAAAAGAAAAAAAUUGUUAGAGAUUUGAGAGGGUAUAUAAUGAAAAUAAAAAAUUAUAGUUGAAUAAUAUUUAUAAAAAUAACUGUUACGUAUAAGAUUAUUAAAAAAAAAAGUUGAGAUAGAUGAACUUAUUUUUGGGGAUCAUAUUUUUAAAGCUUAUGAGUUGUAGGAGCUUAUUUUGUCAAAUGAUCUCAUAAAUUCCUAAAUAUAUAGCUUAUAAGUUAUUUUAAAGAUUAAAAAGCUUUAUAAGUUCAACAAAACACCCUCUUAGUGUGUAUCACAUAUUUUUCAUCAAUUUUAAUUAAAACUAUAAAUAUAAUAAUAUACGUUGAGUUGAAUAAACCUAAUUACUAAUUAUAUAAUUAAACUAUAACAUUAUAAAAUUGAGAUUGAAAAAAAAAUACUAUAAAACAAAAAAAUUGAAAUGAGCAUAAUACGGAUGGAAAAAGGUUUGCCAAAUUAGGAAAUUGAGGUUAAUAAAGAAAAAAAAAGUGUAUUUAUAUAUAGAUUUAAAAGUUUCUAUAUAUUUGUAUAAAACAAAAAGAGAGAAACUUUCCAUAAAUAGAUAAUUUCAGUAAGUGUGUAUACAUACUAAAAUAGAGUGUAAGGUUGAUUGGUCGAGUGGAAAGUGUUUUUGUACAUGUCGGCCAAAAUUUCGGGCGUAUAAAACAUAUGGAAAGAUUGAAUUGAGGCAACCGUUUAUGAUCUUGUUAAAUUGGUCUCGACAUUUUAGGGCCUUAUUUGAAUUAUUUGUGAAACAUUUACAUGUCGACUAUUUUCAUUUUCAGACUUUCAGUAAUUACAUACGCGAAUAUAUAGAAUAUAGAAAGAUUAGAUGUCGGUUUCAAAAAAAAAAGAAAGAUUAGAUGUCUUAAUGCAUUUUGGGCUUUUGGCUCGUAUAAAUAAAAAGUUACAUAUUUUAUUCGAUUUUGUGGCAUCACAAUUAAGGUAAAUUUUGCAUGUAAGAAGUGAUAAAGUCAUACUAUUUGUUCAUGAGGAGCGACUAAUAGUAACAUAAAAAAUGAAAAUAAUAGCAUAAUAUAACAUUAAAUAAAAAGUCACAUUAUUUGUUAUUUGAGGCGCAAGCAACUUGCGUGCGUUCCACCUUAUUUGAAAUUCAUGAUGCGUUUCGCUAUAUUUCAUAUAGUAAGAGAGCGUUUAUUUUAUAUGAUUGAUAAAAUGAAUGAUUGAAUAUAUUUAUUCUCAAGAGUAUGAUUAUUUCAAUUUCACGCUUUUGAUAAGAUAAGAAUCAAAUAAAAACAGCUUAAAUGAUAAAUAAUAUAUUAAUUUUAUUAUUUCUAAAUUUUUUGAAUUAAACAUUCCAUAAAAAAAAAUACUAAUUGAGUUGCAGUUGGUUAGGCGUUCGUAACAAAACUUGAAGGGUUGGGCGUUCAAAACCUAGUCGGGGCAUUUAUGCGCUUUUUUAUGAGUGUAUAAUAUUUCUAGCAUUCCUUAUAUAAGAAAAACCAUUAAACUACAACCUAAAAUCAUUAGAGAUAUAUAUUUAUCAAAUGAUUCAAAUCAACCGUAUAUCAUGUAAAUAAAUUGAAUAUUUUACAUACUCAUAUAAAGAAUAGCAAAAUUGGAAUGGAUAAGGUUGGAUUGAUGGCACUUCGGGAAUCAGCAAAAUUCUGCUGCCACUUUUAUGGCAGCGCCAGAAUAAGGCUCCAACUUUUAUAACAUCAAUCAAGGAAUUAAACUCAUCUUUACCUUUACUUGUGAAUUUUAUUUGGGACUCUCAAUUAGGGAUGGCAAUCGGGUAUACGGGUACGGAUAGUGACUAUCCAUACUCAUACCUACGAACUAAAUGGAUAGUGAUUUUUACCCACGAAAUUAUCCAUGGAUAUCAAAUGGUAUCCAAACCCGCUACCCGCAGAUACCCGCUACCCGUCGAGUAUCCACAAACCCGCUAUCCGACGGGUAUCCGUCACCCGCUAUUCGCCGGAUACCCACCAUCUACUAUCCGCCGGAUACUCACGAAACAAAAUUUAAAUAUAAAUUUACAAUAAAUUUAAUAGAAAAAAAAAUCAACAUAAAUAACAUAGUUCAAAUCCAUAUGCUGAAAUCUACAAAGAACAAUGUUUAAAUUCAAAUUCAUCAACUAAAAUAUAAAAUUCAACAAAAUUCUAUAAUUACUCAACAAAAUUCAAAUUUAAAUUAGACUAUUAGAAUUUGGGUCUUAGUUCAGUUUCUAUUUGGGCCUAUUUUAAUAUAUAAUAUGUUAGCUCAUAAUCUCAAAAUAUAUAUUCAAAGCCCAUAUUUUAUGAAAUUUUUUGUGGAUAUUUGACGGGUAAUUCACGGAUAAUUGACGGGUAAUUGGCGGGUAUUUUUCGCGGGUAAACGGGUUUCGCGGGUAUGGAUAGUAAGUAUCCAAACCCAUACCCACGAACUAAAUGGAUAGUGAAUUGCAACCACGAAACUAUCCGUGGAUAUCAAAUGGUAUCCAAACCCACCCUAAUAGAUUCGGGUUUUUGCGGAUAUCCGUUACCCGCGGGUAGAUUGUCAUCCCUACUCUCAAUUAAUCUUUUUCCCUUUUUUGGAGAGCCCAUCAAUAUCUUUUUUUUAUAUAAAUUUAUAAUAUUAAAUAAAGAAAUUAUAUGAUCACACCAUAAGAGACUCAAACUCAAGACCUAGCCUUGAACAUUAACUCCUUACCGCUUGACCAACACAUACGCAUAGCCAAUCAAUAUCAUGAAUAUAGCUUUAGUGUUCGAUGUUGUUUUAUAAAAGAGAUUCAUGAUUUUGGGAACGUUAUUAAGAUGUCAAAUUUUAAACUUAAAAUAAAACUAUUUNAUAUAUAUAUAUAUAUAUAUAUAUAUAUAUAUAUAUAUAUAUAUAUCAUCAAAAAAAAAUCUAAGUUUCUUUUUCUUCAUUUUCUGAAAAAUAGGAUUUCACUCUUUUUCGUACCUCUUUUUUCACUUCAAAUAGGUGUGAUAGUUAAUACUCUUUGGAAUGAAAAUAAGAAAUGGUAAAUAAUGAAAAUUUUAUUUUAUUAUAAAAAAAUAAGGAAAAAGAAAUGAGAAAUAUUAAAAAAAAAUUGUUAUUACUUACUCCUUCCGCCCACGAAAGAACUUCAUAUCUUUCCUUUUUGGGACGUCCACAAAAGAAACUUCUUACUUAUUUUUGGACUAUACCCCACCACUUAUAAUAUAUCCUCUUAAUUACUUUUCACUUUUCACAACUCUCAAUAUUAAUUAUAACACUUUUUCACCACUCUCAAUACACUCAACUACCUUUUAUCCACUGGGAAAUAAUGAAAUUUUGUUUUACUAUAAAAAAUAUUGGAAAAAGAAAUGAGAAUAUAAAAAAAAUAAAAUUUGUUAUCACUUAUUUUUUAUUAUAAAUUUACAAUAAAAAAGAAGUAAUUUUAACUGAGAUCGAGAAUUUCCACAUUAUAUACUCGUCAACUUUGAGGUCUUUCAGGUCAUAAUUGACGAUUAGUAAAAUUCUCCUUUGAAGUUUUAGCCAUUUAAAUUGGGGUUUGUAGAUACCAAUACCAAUAUAAUUAAAACUCGAACAUUAUUAAUUCUUUGGGGUCUAAGUUCUUGGACCUUCAAUUGAUUGGAUAUUCUUUUCCGACCCACAUAUAUAAAUGUCUGAGUUGAAGCCCCACCAUAUAAUUAAUAUUUUUCUUUUGACAGUGCUAAAUGACGCAAAUGGUACAAUGAACCCAAAUGAAUCAUUGGAAUGUCUCUUUUUUCAGAUAACUAAUUAAAUAUGUAAAUAUAUUAUGUAAUAUCAGUGAGUGGGCAUGUUUGUUGAUUCAUUUUGACUGCCCAUAAUCAACUUACAGUUUUGAUCUCAUAUUGAUUUCGUUAAUGUAUCCAUAUAUAUGAACAAAUUCAGUGUUAUAUGGCAUAAAACAUCAAAUCAUAUAUACUACAAAACAAUUAAUGCGAUUCAGUUUCUAACUUAUACUAGUACUAUAUAAUGUAGGAAAAGAUAUUGAUAAGGAGCUCCAUUGUUUUUAUUCGACUAAAAACUUAAAAUACUUAUUUUUAUUAAGUUGUAAUAAAAAAUGCUUAUUUUUAUAAAAUUAUUAUAUUUACGUUUAAAUUGAUUAAAUUACUCUUAAUAUCUCAAUUAAUGUAUUUGUAAAAUGAAAAUAGCCUAUUAUCGAAAAAGUAAGCGGCAACUUAUUUUUCCGGCCGACAACCUAUUUAUGAAUUAUGAUUAUGACAUCAACUCAAUAAAACCGAUUCUUUUUUCGACAAUUUUAAUAAAUUUAACAAUAAAGAAUAUGUGAUCAUGCAUGUGAAAUUAAGUCUUAAGUGUGUUUUUUUUUUUUUAAUAAUUAAUCCGAUGAGUUGUUCGCAUAACCGAAUUACCAAAUUGUGAUUAACCAACAACACGGUUUUUAUUCGAUGAUACAGUUUCAAUUUUCAAUUAACCGAAAUUGAUCCCACGAGUAUCAUCGAUCCAUAAAUGAAUUAUGGUCAUGAUUGGUUUUUACAUGGAAUAAUAAUGCCUUUUAUAUAUACAUGCAACAAACUUAAGCUUCAUUUAUGAUAUGAUAAUGUUUUUUUCAUAUGUUAUUAUAACAUGGAUUUUUUUUAUAAAAAUCAUAACUUAUAUAAAAAAUAGUUGUAGAUUAGUUUUUAGUUACUAAAAUAAAAUAAAAAAUAUUUAUAAAUAUUUUUUAAUUAAAAUGCUCUCUAUGUAUAUAGUAGUUAAUUUAUUAAGACAAAUUAACAAUUCCAAUAUAUCUGAGCUAGGUCUGUGUAGCUCAAACUUUUUGACACAAAUAAGUCACUAAAAGUCAAGAAAAUACAACUUGUACACGCGCGAUUCUACCAAUUAUGGCAGCACACAUUCGUACGACUAUCCCCUCGUGCUGAUUAUCUUGAGAUAAAAUUUAAAAUUAAUAUUUUAUGUGUUAAAUAUAAGAGAUAAAAAUAUGAAAAGAUAAAUAAAAAUAUAUUAUCAAAUAAAAAUAUAUCUCAAAAUAAAAUAGAACGCUAAAAAAAGAAACUAUCGCAAAAUAGAUGAAACAGGUGAAGUAAUAUAUAUAUUUACUUUUGUGUAUAUGGAGUAACUUAGAAAAGUUCUUUUAAGAACCACUAAAUAAAAUAAGAAUUUAAUCUUUGGAACUUUAAGAUUUAUGAUGGGUGCUAAUCUUGAUGGAUGAAUGCAGUACCUGAAUUCGAAUUUUAAGUAGUGCGAUUUUUUUUUUCAAGUGUAGUAAAUUUAACAACGAUUAUAUUAAUUUUUAUAGCAAAUGUAAGAAUUUUAAUUGUGCUCAUAUUCUUACAUUUGUAUUUCUCACAUAUAAUAAUAUAUACAUUUUUAUGUUUAAAAAAAAUAAAUUAAAUAAAUCAAAAAUUUUCUUAUUUAAUUAAUAAUUAAUGUGAGUGAUCACACUGUGGCUAUUUAGUACCCACCUUUUAAGAAAUUUACCCAUGUUAAUGAACGUAUACAAUCUCCUUCUCUCUAUAUAUAUAUAUAUAUUAAAAAGAAAACAUGAUCAUUUUACAUAUUUAAUUUAGGAUAUAGAAUAACAGGGAGAUGAUUCAAAUACAACUACAACUUUUUUUUCUUGAGUCAGAGGGAUUUUAAGGAUCGUAACUUAUGUUGAUUUGAAAAUUAGGACAAUAAUUUUUAUACUUGUAAAAAUAUGACACUAAUUAAUAAGCGAAGCACCCGCAGGACAUUUAUGGGUCAAUUAUCAAAUUUUCGAACUUUUCCGUACAAACUAAGCAUAUGUCAAGCCGUAAAAAUGACAUGUUUGCCACAUAAUCAAUCCCUCCGUGCGGGUUGUCAUGUGCUUGGUCUGUGCGGAAAAGUCCGAAAAUUUGAUAAUUGGCCCAUAAAUAUCAUGCGGGUGCAACAGUUAAUUAAUAUCUUAUUUUUAUAAGUUCGAAAGUUAUUGUCUUAAUUUUCAAAUCAACCUAAGUUAUUGUCCUAAAUAACCCUCUGACUCUUUUUUUCUUUGUAAUUUCUGGCAAUUUCCCCCAUCGACUCACGAAAAAUUAUCAUUAAUUGAAACGGACUAAUGAAAUGUUAAUGAGUUUUUUUAUUUUGAUUGAAUACCCCAGCGGAGGUAUCAGGCUAUCAGCACCUUAUAUUAAAAAAACAUAUAUAAAAAUAAUAUUUUUUUCAUGCAUGUACCUAUGCAAGACUGCAACCGAGUAAUAAUAUUCCAAAACACGAACAAAAUUCUUUAUUAAAAAAAUUGACUGAAUAAUUAGAAUUGGUGACCAAUUGUUCCUCCAGAAGUCAACUGCAUACCAACUAAAUUCCUCGGGAGAAAGUAUAUGUACUAUGUAACUUAAAUAAUGCUUAUUUUGUCAACAUAAGUAAGAAAUUAUGAUAGUUAAGCAGUUGUGGAAAUAAUUGUUUACUGAUUAUAUAAGUAUGUCAAAACAACAUUUUGUAUAUAAUUAAUCCUGAAAGAACUAAUAUUAAUUAUUUAAACUGGGGCGAAUCUACCCUAGGGCUCAUAUAUAUCUACAUAGUCCAACUCAUAGUCCAACCCAACUUAAAAAAAAAAAAAAAAAAAAAAAAAAAAACUUUACAACAUAAUAAUGAAAGUAAUUUAUUUUUGUAGAAAAUAGAUAUAGGAGGUACGUAGUUUAUAUGUGCUUUCAAUGUAGUAUCUUUUAUUGAAUCAAUAGAAAGAAAACAAUUAUUUAGUCGGUGAUCGAAUUCUAAUCCUAAGUUCAUUAAAAUUCUACUUGAACAUAUAAAUUAAUAUCUGUACUACGAACUAUCCAAAAAAAUUGACUCAAGUUUCAUACCUCAACAAGUUCAGCUAGCACCCUUACAACACCUAUAUAUAACUAUAUUUUAUCAAUAAAUUUUUUUUUGAAAUAUAUAAGGUUUUAAUCAAGAAAACCCGAAAAGUUCAAGAUAAUUAAUUUGAUGCCAACAACUAAAUCCAAUUUCUUAGAAUCUCAUCCGCCAAUUAUUUAGCCCAAAAAACAAAAAGGCAAAUUUGAGAAGUAAACAAAAGAGGGUGAUAAUUUGUUUGACUUUGUGAGAAGUGUAUGCAUGCAUGUACAUAAUCGUUUAACGUCACAAGUUCUUGCAUAUUGGCCUCAAUUAUGAGUGCUAUUAUUCGAUUUUAAUGACAUACAAAUAUAUUUUUAUAUUUUUAAUCUUAUCGCAUCUCUCUUACUUCAACUAUGAUAUACUGAUAUUUAAGUCAAGAACGUUGAUGUUUUUGCUUGACAAUAUAAGAUAAUACUUGAUGUUUUUGACUGGAAUGAUCUUGUAUACAUUGUACUAUAAGAUACUAAUUAUGUUUAAUUAUAUAUAUUAAAUUAUCUACCACUAUAUAAAUAUAAUAGCUAGCCAGGAGAGUGAAAUUAUAGUAAUUUAAAUAUGUAUUAAUUUAUAAUGUCAGGAAGGUAAAAUUAUCAUAGUUUAGUCUUUUAAUAUAUAGAUUAUAAUAUGUUAUUGUAUUUUGUAUUACAUAUUUCAUCUAGGAGGUGGUAAUAGAUAUCUUAUAUUUUAAAACUAAUAUUCAUUACGUCCCACUAAAAAUAGUCUAUAUUUCAUUUUGGAUUGUCCCACUAUAAGUGAUUGUUUUUAUAAUUAAUAAAAUUUAAUUCUUAAAAAGGUGUAAAUUCUAUCACUUUUAAUAAAUUUACAAUUUUUUUUUUAAUUUGGGUGCCCAAAUUUGUUGUGCUACUUAUAAUGGGAAGGAGUGAUGAGUAAUAUUUUAGGAUGUUAUAGAUAUAUAUACGUACUAUACAUCCUUAUUCCAUGAGGACACCAAACGGUGUGAACUCAUGUCUAUGAACAAUGAGACUUAAAGUUCAAACUUCGUCGCUCUCUCUUCCCCAGAAAAAAUAAAAAAAUCACAAGUAGUAUAUGAGCCGCAAAAAAUAAAUACAUGCACAAUGCAUUAUGCAUGUAUAUAUUUCAAAAGCAAAUGAUUAUAUACUUCUUAUUCCCACGACAAUCAAGAUGGUAUAGAAGUUGAUAAAACAAUAUUCCAAAAUUCUUUUUCUUCUAAAAAAAAAUUCCAAAAUUCUUUAGCAAUUCUAAUUGUUGAGUGGCACGCCACACACAUAAUUAAUAUACGUACUGUAAAAACAUCAUCAUCACAAAUACAUUGUGAAUAUAUUUUAUCAGAUUCAUGAAUGAAAAAAAUAAUUCCAAGUGGGAUCUGUUUGAGGACUCAUGAGUCAAUGGAGCGCAUAUAAAUCCAGGAUAAGGGUUGCAUGAUUAAAUGGACUUUGAAUAUUUUAUAGCAGCAUAUAUUAUAUAUAUGUAGGCAAAUAAAAUAAAACAAAAUAUGCAGUGUUGACGACUUAUGUAGGGGAAAUACAUUGUACAAGAUGAUAUUUUGGUUUGAAGAAUGUUAAUUAUACGAAUCCAUCCAAAAAUGAGGGGAGCUUAAUUAGACACUAGUAAUUGAAGAGGACAUAAAGUUCAUCAUCUACUUGCUUACCACAAACAUAAACAAACUUUUAAUUUGUUAGCCCAUACACGAGGUUGACUAUAUAUAUUUAUAUUAGAUAUAACGUCGAAACAAAAUUUGUUAUUUAAAAGAAAACAUUCAAAAACAAGCCCCAGAGGGCAAUGAUACAUACUGUAGUGUAGACCCACAUUAGGAUUUUAUUUUUAUUUUUUUCCGAAAAAAGAAGAUUUUAACCUUCCAACGUUCUGGUGCUGCCUCCACUAAAGGCCAAAGGGGCCAAAAAGUUGCUAUUCAUGAAUAAAUUACGUGCUUUUAUCAAAUUAUUAAAUUGGAUUCUUUCAUCCCAUUAGUUAAUGGUUCACUUUCAUUUUUCGUCUAUCUCAUUAUCAAUGACCUAUUCCAAAAAAAAAAAACCUUCUUUUUUCUUAAAAAAUUGUGGUCUUACCACUUUUUAUCAUUUAAUUAAUUUUUUUCUUAUAAUCGUGUCGAACAGUAAUGAGUCAUUAAGACGGAGUGAGUAUUUCUUUAUUUACAUUUGAGGAUUUAAUAAUAAUAAUAAUAAUAAUAAUAAUAAUAAUAAUAAUAAUAAUAAUAAUAAUUUUUAUUAUUAAUGAUGAUAAAUUUUUAGAAUAAAGUAAAUAAAAACAAAAUUUUCCAAUAUAUAUAUAUAUAUCCCGCAAAUUUUCAAUCAUUGCGAAAAUGUUAAGCCAUGAUAAAUUUUAUGGAAAUGAGAGAAAGAAAAGGAAAAGAGCUCGAUCAAGUUUUUUUUCUUAUGAAUUAAUAAGUAAAUAAAAAAAUUUAAAAAUCACAUCAUAAUAAAUUCGAAUUCAAAAUUUUUAAUUUUAAAUAUUAAUCACACUAUCACUAAAUCAACAAUUUUAAAUUUACCAAUAGCUUCAUCACAUGGAAUCAUUUUUCUUCUUUUAUAUCCCACUUUCAAUGUUUGAUAUAGUUUGUAAUUAUUAUUUAUCGUUUAUCCGAAAAACACCAAGACAAAGAACCCACUAUAAACUAGUAUAAUAAAUUUCUCAGUGGUAAAUCAUGAAAAGGAAAAGUAAUACAUACGUACACAACUUACAUGAGAUAAAGAUGCAGAUUCUUAUUAUUUGUUUUAAAUAAAGAUGCGAUAAUGGCCGUGGGAGAAUGAAUGAGAGAUUUAUUUAAUUUUUAAGACCAAUAAAAGCAUUGAGUGGUGGGCAUUUGUUUGUUCAAAUAUGAUUUGGCACAAAUAAUGAUGUGGGAGAAGUAGUAGACAAAUAUGUUAUCAAUUUGAAUAGUGAGAUGACAGUUAUUCAGUAUUUUAUAUCAAAACAAUCUUGUGCUCCCACUCGAUCUAUCUGAAAUUGCGUGGGGCUGAAUGAAUUAAAUUUAUCAAAUGUAUUUUUUUUUCACCCAUUUUAGACUAGCACCCAAAUUCAAUGAAUUGUAUUUGUGGUCACAUAGCUAGGCCUAUUAUAAUUUUAAUAUUAUAAAAGUUUGUUUUUUUGGAUUCAUAAAACAAGAAAAGGACAUUUGUGAACAAAAUAUAAAGUACAUAUUGAGAAAUGAGAAUCAUUGAUUGGCUAGGGGAUAAUAGAAAGGAUCAAGUUGAAUUCGUCACAAAAUAAUUUGCUAUCUUUGAUUGGGUUGAUUUUAGUUUUUAUCUCAGCCUUUGUCAUUUAUAUUAUAUUAAAAAAAAUCAAGAUUUCAAUUUAAAAUCAAUUUUAAAAUUAAGUGUGUUAAGUUGAGUUUUAGACUCAACGGCAAAAUUUAGGAAAAUUGAAGAAAAUCGAGUUAAGAUUUAAAAACUAAGAAAUUGAGAGGAAAAAUUUUGGAGAAAGAAGAUAGUAUUUGUUUUUUUUUUUUUUCCAAUUGUUGAAUGACCUUUUUUUCUUUAAAUUGAACUUAAGGGCCUUAUUUAUAGCCUAUUAUUUAGAUAUAAAUAUACAAUGAUAAGGCCAAUUUAGUCUCGUUUUAAAGCCCAAAUAAUAGGAAGAAUACAAUUUAAAUUAUAUGCACUUUUAUAUAUAUCCAGCACUAAUCGGAUCUAAUCGUCAUUCAAAUAUGUUAAGUGUCUGGCUUUAUAUUUGUCCUUCGCUUCAAAGAUAAAAUUCUUUUUCUGCCCAUCUGUCUUUUUAUUUUUAUCUUUUCUGUGGUUUCAAAAUCUGCGUCUUUAUAGUUAGAAUAUAAAUCUUUUGUCUUUCGCUUUUAUUCUGAUCCUCCUUUCAUUUUAUCUUUCUAUUUUGUAUUUUUUGCUGAAGCCAAAUCUGAAUGCAUGUAUUUAAACGUCGAAAAUCGUCCUCAUCAGAGUGACACCUGAGAGUUACUCGUGAUAAUUUUGUUAACGUAACAGUAAACCUAUAUAAAUAUAAUAGUAGACUAACUCAAUUCAAAUUCAAAUAUGUAACGCAUGAAACCUUCACUACAAUUUAGUCAAACAUGAAUGAAAACUGUAUAUAUAUACUACAAUAAUAAUUAUAGUACAUAAGAGUACGAAACGUUUAAUUUGAAUUUCUUGAAUACAUGUGUGAUGUGAGAGUCCGACACACAAAUUUUGGUGAGUCCCAACAAUGCAAGAGCAACUUGAAUUUUAGGAUAAUUAACCUUCUCUUUUAGACUUGGAGUCAUAUGAAACCUCCACCAUUUUUUAUUUAUUUUUAAUUAUUUAUCUAUUGCACCAGUCCACUAAAAUAAUACAUAAUUGAGGGUGUCACAAGUUUAAAAAAAACCGACCCUAUUUAUUUAAUGAGUGGAGAAAUGAGCCCACAAAUUAAAAAUAAAAAAUUAAUUAAGUUAAUAAGCGGAGAAAGGAGCCCACAAAAUUAGUCGAAUCAUUACUAAAAAUAAAUUAUAACAACUUCCUCCGUCCCAUUACAAAUAUCUCAUUACUUUUGGGUACGGAUGUUAAGAAAUGUGUAAAAAGUAGAUAAAGUGGAUUGGUAUAAAUUAUUUAAAUAUCAGGUAUAGAGAGAGAGAAUAUAUUGCCCAAAAAAGGAAUAAAACAUUUGUAAUGGGACAUCCCAUUUUAAAAAAUGAAACAUUUGUAAUGGAAUGAAGGGGUAGUAUUUUUGUAGACAAAUGAAAAUGAUAAAUUAAGGCUUAUGUUUUGUGGACGGAGGGGAUUAUUAGACAAAUCUACAAGAGAAAUUUAACAAAAAAGAUAGUGAUAGAAAUUAAAAUUCAUGACGUUACGCCAUAACUUCAUAAGCAUAAUUUUAAAUCUUUAGGAUAGAUGUUUUGAAGGUAUAUUCUUGAUCGACUACAAGAAUAUGAAGUUUUAUCCACACAUAAUUUGUGACACAUAAUAGGUAAAUUCAUUAGAUAAUUUUAAAUAAUUAAUACUAUGUGUAGGUAAAAAGAUUUAGUCACAUUUAUUUUUUUAUUUUUUAUUUUCCGUUUAACUCUUAAUAUAUUUAAUGCUGUAGAAAUUUUAGCCACACAUAAUUAUGUGUGGCAAUAUACCCACACAUAAUUGAAUAUGUGUAAGUAAAUUAAGUAAAUUUAUAAUCAGAGCGAAUACAUCCAUACCACAAAUUAUCACCUAUAAUAAAUCUAUGUGCCAUAUUGCGAUAAAUUAUUAUUUAUUUACGUUCGUAAAUUUAAUUCUAGAGGUAUUGGCCUGUAAAUAUUCGAACUUUUUCCAUUUUCCAGUUUUGCACCCUAACUUUAAAAUCUCUAUAAAUACUUGAACUUUAUCUUUUUUCUGAUUUUGAACCCGGUGAAUUUUUACCCUCAAAUCGUUGUUGACAUGACAAUCGAAUUGAGAGAAAAGUUUGAAGUGCAUAAUAAAAUCGAUAAAUUUGUUGUUAAUAUGAGAUCUAGAAUAUGUAAUUAUAAGUUUUGGGAUGUUAAUUCCGUUGUCAUGUCAACAAAUAUUUGAGAGUAAAAAUUCAUCAGGUGCAAACUCAGAAAAAAUAUAAAAUUGAGAAAUUUAUAGACAGAUUUUAAAUUAGUGAAAACUAAAAAAUAGAAAAAUUCAGUAUUUAUACCAAUACCCCUUAAUUCUAUAAACCAGAUUAAACAACAACGUAUUCUGAUAUUUCAAACGACGUGUCAGAUACACCAUUAACAAAAGCAAACAAACACAAAAACCAUUUUCACUUGAGACAGGUUUAUAUGCAUGCACUUAUCUACUGAGGUGGCCCACAAAGUUUGAACUUUAGGUUUAGGGUACAUGUUCUGAAAUUUUUGGCCCAUCUUCAAUUAACCUCUCUUUCAUUAAGUUCACAAAACAUGCGAUUGAACCUAUUUAGGUCUCUUAAGGUAUUUAGAUAUAUAUAUAUAGAGAGAGAGAAAUGAUCUAGUAUUAAAAAUUUAUAAGUAGUGUGAGAAUUGAAAAUUUAUCUAAAGAGUUGCAAGUAAGUCAUUUCGUUUUGACGAACAAGUCAAUAACUUUUAUAAACAAACAUUUUGAUUUAGGUGGCGAAAUUUUCAAUAUACUAUAUAAAUACGUCUAUUCAUCAGUUAUAUUGAUUUAUUGGUAGAUUUUUUUUGAUUUUUGGUUAUUAUUCUCAUUUUUAGAGAGAACACACACACACACACCUGCAGAUGAUCUAUUCGAAAGGAGGGCAAGAAUAUUAGAGGAAUGAGUAAAACUCAAAAGGUUCGAAAAGCAAUAAUAAAUGACCAAGAUUUUGUUAGUAGAUGUUGGAGAUUUGGCAUUACAUGAGCCCAACUUUUUUGAAGUUCCAAAUGGGUCCAAAAAAUCAAACCAAUAAAACCCGUGCGGCAAGAGAAAAUACUGUAUUUUAUUCUUAGGCCUAUCAACAAAUGCUUUCCUUGGAAUAACUAAGAUUGCACCUCAUUAUUUUUUUAUUUUUUUUUGAUAAAUUAACAAUAUUAAAUAAAAAAAUUUAAAGGUCGCGCCACAGGGGACUCAAACCCAAAACCUUUGGCGUUGGACAGUAACCCCAUACCGCUUGGCCAACACACGAACACAAUUGCACCUCAUUAUUAAAAUAUCGUUGCAUGUUGACUUGAUAGUAGAAUUUCACCAUAUAUAUGAGUUGACAUAUAAGAUGAAAUAUAAUGGCUNCUUUGUAAGGCAAAGUAACUUUCAAUAUCAAAAUUCAAAAAAAAAAAAAUACUCUAGAAUCCAAUCCAAAACAUGAUGUGACAUAAAUUAAUUAUGUUUUUUACUUAUUCUAAAAGUCUUAACUCUAAAGUUUACAUAUCAAUUACAGUAUAAAAUAGCUCAACAAGAUAAUGAUGUAGAUAAAAUUAUAUAUUUUUUAUUUUUAAUAUAAAAUUACAAAAAUAUCUUAGUAUUUUUUAAAAUCCCAGGGGGGCCCAGUGACCCCCUGCCCCACCCCUAGCUCCGCCCCUGCUCAAUAUUGUAGAGUUUUGAACGACAAAAUACAGCUCAAUUCGUACAACGUUUUCCCUUUAAAUAGUACUCAAUCCGUCUCACGGAUCUUGACACGUUUGGUUUCGGCACGAAAAUUAAGGAGUUGUAAAUUAGUAAUUUAAGUGCGUAAUUAAUAAAGUACUAUAAAAGUAAUAAAGUAUGAGAGAGAAGGUAAUAAAAGUGAUAAACUAGGAGAGAGUGUAAUAAUUACUAUUACUUUAUUUGAAAAUGUGUCAAGAUUCGUGGGACGACUCAAAAAUGAAUACAUGUCAAAAUUUGUGGGACGAAGGGAAUAUUAGAUUGAAAGUUCAAAUCAUCAUUUGAAGAAAUGAAAAAUCAUUAUUAAUCUUCUUAAAUUUUAGAAAGGACGAAAAAGAAUCACAAAACAAACAGGUGCUUGACUAAAUUUAUUUUAAAAAGUUUAUAAGCUCCAAAACAAAAUAAAAGAUUAAAACAAAUCACAGAAUAAACAAGUAUUUGACUAAACUUAUUAUGAAGAACUUAUAAGUAGUCAACGUAUUUGGCUAAUUAAGCUUAUAAGAUAAAGAAAUAAAAUUGAAAAGAUAUAUAUUAUGCAUAACAUCGAAAUAACAAAUCAUGGCAAAAUUAUUUUUAUAAAUUAAUUGUUACUUAGUAUAAGAUUAUGCAUAAAUAAAUUGAAUUAAUGAACUUAUUUAUUUAUUUAAUAUUUUUUAUAAUUAACAAGUAAAUAAAAAAAAUUAAAGAUUGCACUAUCGUGGACUCGAACUCAUGACCUCCAACCUUGGACAUUAACCACCUAUCGCAAGGCCAAACGUGUUUUAAGAAUUUAUAAGCUCUUAAAUAACUUAUACUAAGAUGUUUUAAAAAGUUUAUAAGCUCAACUAAAACACCUCUAAAUCUUUAUUUUCACAACACUUAAGAUGUGAAGGACAAGUCAUUUGGCCUUUUUAGUAUGACUUCCACCAAAAGAAAAGGAGUAGAAAAACAGGAAACUAUAAAUAACAAACUGCAGAACUAGAAUCAAAGCACACCACUAUUUCAUAGGUAAUAAAAGAAUUUAGCAUUGGUGUUUUGUUUCAUUGUUCUGGGCAUUCUCUGUUUUAGCACAUAUACCCUGAUUCUUAUAUAGCCUUAAGGGGGCAUUUGAUUUUUAUGAUUGAUAAGAUGCAUGAUAGAGUAUUUCUAUCUUCAUUACUAGGAUAUCUCCAAUCUCAUCCUUUAAAUGGGACAUGAAUCAAAUAAAAUUAGCUCAAAUGACAGAAAUUAACAAGGAACUUUGAAUAUUCCAAUGUUUCAAUCCAUCUAAGUAAAUAAAGAAUUAACCAUAAUAUUUUUAUCUAUUAAGGUUAAUCGUCAAAUGUAAACUCUCCUAAAAGCAUUAACAUGUCUUAUUUAAAGAAAUUCUACCAAAUCGAGAGAGGCAGAACUAAAUUCUCCCAAAUACUUCUUUGCAUAACAUUAUCUGUGGAUCAUAUAUAUAAGAGCAAAUAAGACAUAGGAACCCAACAAGGAUACUAGUAGUCAAGAACAGAAUCACUAGUAAAUACUCCUAGUCUCCUAGAUGUAGAAGUAGAACAUAUUAUGAAGCCUGUGUCGAGCACCAAUAAACAGAAUACGCUUCAAGUUACCUGAAAAACUAAUAGCAACGAAAGUUGAUCCAAAUCCUUGAUCAGAAUACUUAGUUUGACACUAUAUGAACAUGAUGAAUAAGUAACCAACUCAUCCUGUUGCUAUGAACUAUGCAGCAAUGUUUGAAUUUACAGAAACAUUCUAAUAUCUGAUUUAUUUGUUAGAGCAAAGUGGAAUUGAGUCACAAACAUUUAUGUGCUGACAAUACUACUUAACAAAUUCCCGAGAAGCUGUUCAGGAUCUAUGAAUCUUGCCAUGUAUAUCAUGCAUAUUUGCUAAAUAAUCUAGUCAUAUUUAGAGCAUGCACGAAUGUAGAUUGUGUAGCAUCUAUACAGGAGUAAGGAACAACAACACGUAACAAAAUCUUACCACUAGCUCCAAGCCAAUUUAUAUUAGCUACCCAACCAUAGGGAGAACCCAAAUAUGCAGCUUAAAAAGCCCGAUAUUGACUUCACUCUACUUCUAUCAAGAUUUAUAAAUGAAGGAACAUAAUAAUUGCAUUAGAAAAUGUUCAUACACAUGAUGACAUGAACCAGCAUUCGACCAAAUCAGAAUAAGAACGUAUAAAGCAAGGUCAUUCCGGCCAAAGGAGAAGGCCAUAUUGAACUAAUUCCAUGCUCUAUCUCAUAAGGGGUUCAAAAAACAGAUGAAACCUCCUGACUAUUAUCUCAACAUAAAAUCAAUAAACUAGCUUAGAUCGAAUAAAAAGCAGCUGUGAUGUUCCUUACUAACAAAACACGUAACACCUUUCAAAAUUUAAGCUGCACAAGUAAAUUAACCCAACUGCACAACUGAACCCUAUGAAACUGCAAAAAGAAUAGCAAUGCAUACCAUACUAAGAACAAGGCAAUCCAGAAGCUCAACAAUUACAAUGACAGAGAUAGGAUAGGACUCCAUAAACGGAGAGAGAUAUACUAGAAAACAUAGCUUACUCCUCGCAACACCAGAAGUUUAUAUACAUAUAUCAGCACAACAUCUCUGAGAGACACUUCUCAGAGUUCAAAUCCUCCAUUGAAACACAAUUCACAGAGAACGUCCAAUCUUUAUAUAUAAAAUUUAACACGGAGUCAUACUGGGAGCAAAUAGUUAGAGCGAAUUAGAGCUUACAUUAAUAAUCACUUCGAUACUCGCCAUACCGAUCAUCCCUCGCAGUUGAAGAAACCAUAUCAUUCUCCACUCUUUCUGCAAUCUUCUCUUCCUCAUAUUUAAUACCUUCAUCUAAUGACAGCCCGCCGAGAGCUCCAGCCGCCGCUCCCACCGCCAAUCCCGUUCCCAUUCCUAUUCCCGGCUUCCCCAAGCUCCUCUUAUGGUAAUCAUAUGGUGUGUAAUCCACCGGAGCGCUCGGCCCCGAGGCCCCUGAUCCACCGUAGCUCGACUGCGACUGCAACGGCCGCUCUAGAAAUGGACGAGCUGGUGGCGGUGGGGGCGGUGCCGGCGAAGGCGAAUAAUAAGACGAAUAAUAGCCUGAGUGCGGAUCCGAGUAGGAGUAAUAGGGCUGCGGAGGGGGGAAAACGACGACGGCGGCGGUAGAGUAGAAUACGGCGAAGGAGAGUAUCCCCCGUAUAAGGGCAUGGGCGGUGGAGGGGCAGAAAAGUUAUAAUAACCGGUAGCAGGGGGCAGGAUGGUAAUUCUCUACGGGGCGCUCAACCAAGCCGAUCUUCAGCCGGAUCUUACCGUGGGGCCGGCCGGAGGGGCGGAGGAGCUCGAAGGUCCUGAGUCGAAUUGCCGAGUCGGCUGAGUCGCCCAGGAGAUCUCGGAGUUCGAACCGGUGCGCGCCGACCAAGGGUUUCGACGUCUCCGACGGUUUGGAGUGGAAGACUUCCAGCGUUAGGGCGGAGUCCCUGAGCGGGAGACUGAGCGGUAGAACGAAUCGCUCGUUCCAAACGGGUCGGGUAGAUCCGGAGUCGUCGGGCUUGGUGGCCUGGCGGCGGUCCGGGUCGACCCACAGGAUGACGUAGGGUUUGAGAUCGCCGUUCCUCCAAUUGACGUUCUUCAGGUGCUUAGCGGAGACGAUUGUGACAUCGAGAUCGUAGAGCUUCGGUUGCGGCCGAUGAGUGGUGCCGGUGGCCAUGGCGGAGGCGGUUUGGUGGCGUCGGGUAACGUGCGCCGCGGAAAAAAGUUGGAGUGCGAAGGAUAGUGUAGAAUGAGAAGAUUGGGAUUGUUUGUCAAUUUGGCGAACUGGUUAGGCGAAAAAGUUCCAUUUGUCUUUUGCGGUCCCAGCUUGAACCAUCAAGGCUCGAGCUAGACCAUCUCCAACCAAGACCAUCAGCCCUUUAAACC